UAUUAAUGCCUAAGAUCCAGAGCCCAAAGA
rnacentral:piRNA from 1 species